CAGGGGCUUCUGGAACCUCGUGAUGGGCAGGUGUGGUCCGCCUUCUGCAUGAGCCCAACUUCUGGGCCUCACUGAGCUGCACAGCUACAGGGAGGAGCCUGGAUCUCUAUGGCCUCGCUCUCUGGCAGUAGAGUUGAACUUUACAGGAGACCCCUUCCCUCACUCCAGAGCUGUCAGAGGUAAAAAUGAGCACUGAUGCAAUGUCUUCUGUGGGCUGCUGGUUUUGCUAUCGACCCCUGCAUACAAUCCAGGAAGUUGUCUCCUUCUCUUUCCUGCAGAGGAAUUGUGUUUGACUAGGAAAGAGGUGAGAGCUUUGGAGAUUGUGAUGAUUUGUGCUUUAGACGGUGGAAGAGCCUUCAGGGAAGGUGAGGCUGGGGGGAAAUUCUCCAAGAGGGAAAGCAACACACCUAUAAACACACUUGGAAAGGUGAGGGCUGUCUCUCCACUUUGUGCUGUGUCUGGGGCCACCUCCUGAGAAAGGAAGUGGAGGACAGGAGAAACAGUCUCAAAAAGAGAAAGGAAACAGCAUGUUGGCCUCCUUCUUUUUCACCUCUGGGAUGGUCUCUACCCAAGCACAAAGCUUGUGUCCAGGAAUAUGUUGGCCAACACUCAGCUGGUGACCCUUUAAUGUCCAAGCAUCCAUAGUCAAGCACUGACUGCUAUGGCUGUUCCCCAUUGCUUCCUUUUGACCCCUGCCUCCUCCUCAGGGACUGACUGGAUGUCAAGGCCAGGAGAGGUGUUAGAACAAGAGGAGAAUGCAGAGCAGGCCCAAUCAUCCUCUAUGAGGUGGCAAGACUCCUCCUCCCCUUGUGAGGUCUCCAUUCUAUCCUGUUGUUCUGAAAUGAUGAAUUCCAUUCUGGGAGGCCCAUCCAUGGCCCCUGCUGAGAACCAGACAAACCCUUUGCUUCAGCCUCCAUCAUAUUACCCUUCCUCACAACUCCAGCAAUCUUCCCACCUUCCAUCAGACUCUAACCUCUUUGGAGGGUAGGGUUUUUAGUACCUUGAUGGUCAAGAGCAUUGGAUUUGGAGCCAGGAGGAUCUUUAGCAUCAAUAUCUGUGAAAGGAAGGAGAAGAAAGCAGAAUUGGGAGAAGGAGAAGUCGAGAUGCCAUGAACUCCCAAUGAAGACCUCAGCUGCCUCCCAUGGAGCUCUAGUGCUGGGAUGCUCCUUCAGAGUGUCCUGAGCUGGAGUGAGAGCUCUGGGCCUUCAUAUAACCAUGUGGAUGAGUCAUGGUUUGUGGCAUGUUACCAGGCAUGACCUUUUGCAAGCUAGCUCUCCUCACCUGAGGCAAUUCCAAAGAGGGCUGACAGCUGAGGGCCGUCUUCUCCAGACUGGUGCAUCACAACAUCCACCAGGCUCUUCAGAAUGUCUUCCACCUGGGAAUCCUUGGACUUAGGACAGAAUCAGUUGUUAAACAUUUGCCAUCUCACCACUGAACAUAAGCAUGUUGAAGGAGGAAUUGAAUAGGAGAAAAAA